CUUCGAACCACUGUGUAUUUACUGAGAAAACAGAAGUCACUGCUGAUGUACCUACCAAGCUGAAGAGACUGAGCGAGGCUUCAGAAAAACAGGAGGCCAUAGGAUCAGUAAGAACUCAGGUGCCACGUACCAGUUAAACAAAGACACUCGUUUCUGGGACCCACACUCCUGAAGGCCGUAGGCGCCCAGGGGGCAGACGAUGGCUCUGACGCCUCCUGUGCCGAGGCAGAUGGCCGACAGUGCUGCGUAAAACAGCCUCUUCCGCUCCGUUUCCGCUUGAGAGAACACUCAGCCUCAGACAUCUCGGAAGCCUAUUGAACAAGACAGUUGAAGAAGGACGAUUACUGUCUUUAGAGGAGAACAUGGCAUCUCUUUUCGAUUUUUACUUCCCUUUCUCCUUUUAAAGCCCCUUUUACUUCUGUUACUCCUCUUGCCUUACUUGCAGGCACAGUUGUUAGCUCUGAAAAUGUCACGUGAGGCCUGGCCGGGCUAAGGGUUCUCCAAAGAGGAUUGACAGAGGAACCGCUUCCUGCAGGAGCCGUUUAUUUAAAGACAAAGUACUUUUAGUGGAACCUUUAUAUAAAUUCAAAAGGCACUUUACUUCCAUCUUUUGAAAAAAAGUCAUAAUAUACUGAUUUCAAUAGAUCAGAACUUUAUUUCUAUCUGCUAUAAAAUGGAUGUAAUAAAAAUACAAGUCUAUGACAUACAUGAUAAAAAGAUUUCUCUUGGUGUGUGCUCUUGUGCCCUGCAUAAUCAGCACACCUACGCUUGGUGGCUCUGUAUAAAGCACCAUGAUGUGUCAUAGCCCUUGUUAAGUGGCGGGGCGGGGUGCAGAUAGCAGUCCUGUGGCUCUUCCCUUCAGGAGCUAAUGAGUCCAUCAGAGAAGGCAGACAUGCAGGUGGGCAAUUAUAUUAUAAAGUGGCAAAUGCAAUCAUAUAUGUUUGAUCAGAGUGUGGUUGAGCAUGAAGAAGCUAGCAACACACACUCCAUGGGUCUUGAAGGAAGAGCCAGGAGUUUUCCAGACUUGGAUAUGGGAUGGAAAGAUAAAGGAAGGUGACAGUUUCAGGCAGGAAAAAGAGAGCCUAUGUAACAUUAGAAAAGUAGGGAAGCAGGCAAGGAGAAGCUCAGCAUGACUGGGGUUGUGUAGAGAGAGAAGUCUGGAGAGGUAAAUUUGGGACAGGUUGUAAAGGUUCUUAGAUACCAAACUGGC